rnacentral:rRNA from 1 species
GGAAUAUUGGACAAUGGGCGCAAGCCUGAUCCAGCCAUGCCGCGUGAGUGAAGAAGGCCUUCGGGUUGUAAAGCUCUUUUGUCCGGAAAGAAAAGCCUUGGGUUAAUACCCUGAGGUUCUGACGGUACCGGAAGAAUAAGCACCGGCUAACUUCGUGCCAGCAGCCGCGGUAAUACGAAGGGUGCAAGCGUUACUCGGAAUUACUGGGCGUAAAGCGUGCGUAGGUGGUUUGUUAAGUCUGAUGUGAAAGCCCUGGGCUCAACCUGGGAAUGGCAUUGGAUACUGGCAGGCUAGAGUGCGGUAGAGGGUAGUGGAAUUCCCGGUGUAGCAGUGAAAUGCGUAGAGAUCGGGAGGAACAUCUGUGGCGAAGGCGACUACCUGGACCAGCACUGACACUGAGGCACGAAAGCGUGGGGAGCAAACAG